UACAGAGGGUGCAAGCGUUGUUCGGAAUUAUUGGGCGUAAAGCGCGUGUAGGCGGCUUUGCAAGUCGGGUGUGAAAGCCCUCAGCUCAACUGAGGAAGUGCGCCCGAAACUGCAGAGCUUGGGUACCGGAGAGGAUGGCGGAAUUCCCCAAGUAGAGGUGAAAUUCGUAGAUAUGGGGAGGAACACCGGUGGCGAAGGCGGCCAUCUGGACGGUCACUGACGCUGAGACGCGAAAGCGUGGGUAGCAAACAGG
rnacentral:rRNA from 1 species